rnacentral:rRNA from 1 species
GUAGAGAGUGCUUCGGGCGAGACCUCGGUCUAAGUCCAUUGGAACAUGGUGUCAUAGAGGGUGAGAAUCCCGUAUGCGACCGUGGCUCGAGCCCAUGUGAAGCCUCUUCGACGAGUCGAGUUGUUUGGGAAUGCAGCUCAAAACGGGUGGUAAAUUUCAUCUAAAGCUAAAUACUGGCUGGAGACCGAUAGCGCACAAGUAGAGUGAUCGAAAGAUGAAAAGCACUUUGGAAAGAGAGUCAAACAGUACGUGAAAUUGUUGAAAGGGAAGCGCUUGCAACCAGACCUGCCCGUAGGCGAUCAGCCGCUGUUCUCAGCGGUGCACUCGCUCUGCGAUCAGGCCAGCAUCGGUUUCGGCGGUCGGAUAAAGGCCUUGGGAAUGUAGCUUCCCUUCGGGGGAGUCUUAUAGCCCUCGGUGUAAUGCGGCCAGCCGGGACCGAGGACCGCGCUUCGGCUAGGAUGCUGGCGUAAUGGUUGUAAGCGACCCGUCUUGAAACACGGACCAAGGAGUCUAACAUCUAUGCGAGUGUUUGGGUGUCAAACCCAUACGCGGAAUGAAAGUGAACGGAGGUGAGAACCCUUAAGGGCGCAUCAUCGACCGAUCCAGAUGUCUUCGGAUGGAUUUGAGUAUGAGCAUAGCUGUUGGGACCCGAAAGAUGGUGAACUAUGCCUGAAUAGGGUGAAGCCAGAGGAAACUCUGGUGGACUCGCAGCGGUUCUGACGUGCAAAUCGAUCGUCAAAUUUGGGUAUA